UUAAUUGAAGAGUUUGAUCAUGGCUCAGAUUGAACGCUGGCGGCAGGCCUAACACAUGCAAGUCGAGCGGUAGCACAAGAGAGCUUGCUCUCUGGGUGACGAGCGGCGGACGGGUGAGUAAUGUCUGGGAAACUGCCUGAUGGAGGGGGAUAACUACUGGAAACGGUAGCUAAUACCGCAUGACGUCUUCGGACCAAAGUGGGGGACCUUCGGGCCUCACGCCAUCAGAUGUGCCCAGAUGGGAUUAGCUAGUAGGUGGGGUAAUGGCUCACCUAGGCGACGAUCUCUAGCUGGUCUGAGAGGAUGACCAGCCACACUGGAACUGAGACACGGUCCAGACUCCUACGGGAGGCAGCAGUGGGGAAUAUUGCACAAUGGGCGCAAGCCUGAUGCAGCCAUGCCGCGUGUAUGAAGAAGGCCUUCGGGUUGUAAAGUACUUUCAGCGAGGAGGAAGGCAUUAAGGUUAAUAACCUUAGUGAUUGACGUUACUCGCAGAAGAAGCACCGGCUAACUCCGUGCCAGCAGCCGCGGUAAUACGGAGGGUGCAAGCGUUAAUCGGAAUUACUGGGCGUAAAGCGCACGCAGGCGGUU
rnacentral:rRNA from 1 species